AAAAUUAAAGCGUGCAGUGGGCACUUGGAGGGUGUGGGGGGCUUAGGGGUCAGGCUGAAGGAGGGGUCUUCAGCUACUUAGACGGUCCUGGUCCAGCGGCUCUCAGGGUGUCAACCCCUGAUGUCCUCCUCCCUCCCUCCCUGCAGUGUCGUGACGUGUGUGGCCUGAAUGUCUCUGCCCGCUGCGACUUUAUCCGGACAACCCCCGACUGCCGCAGCGAAGGGGGUUAUCUGAACUACCUCGAAGGCAUCUUCUGUCACUUCCCCCCUAACCUCCUCCCUCUGGCCAUCACCCUCUAUGCUUUCUGGCUGCUUUACCUGUUUCUGAUUCUGGGAGUCACCGCGGCAAAGUUUUUCUGCCCGAACUUGUCAGCCAUUUCCACCAUGUUCAAGCUCUCCCACAACGUGGCAGUAUCC